GCUCCCAGUGUGGUCGGAUGAGGCAUAAAGAAAAUGCCCGAGCUCCAUCAUUUUCUCCUGGAGCGCUGGGCUUUGUACCACAACUUGGAAUACGAUUCAUCGGAGGAGAAGAAUCCGCGUCUGAUAUUCUAUAACGAAAAGGACGAGGUUGUAAAGACUGUUCCUGUGAAGAAAAUGAAGGCAGACGAGAUUAGCAGCCUGUUAGACUCACUUGGUUUCUACAAGAGGUCCCAGAAAGGGGAAGAGGUGCCAGAGGAGUUCCAGCAUUUCCCCCUGCACACCCCCAGGGACGAGCUGUGACGACACCUUGUGGUCAAACUCUGCCGCUGCACCCCAGCCACAUUAAUGAUGAGUGGGGCCCCAGGGCCAAAACGAUAAGCCAGGCACCAUUCUGAGGACUCGCUGGCUGGGUGCCGUGUGCAGUGUGUUCUGUGUCACUCUGUUUAUAUGUUGAAUUUAAUAAAACAGUCAAUAAAUGUGUAAAACACCACAAUAAAUGAUGGAGUGGAUUGAUGAAUUUAAUGUGCCUGAUAGUAAUGUAGGCUAUUUAUCACCUGGAAUGGAAUGGGAUUAAAACAUUGUACAGCACAUAGUGCACACAGACAUCUACAUGGGAGAACAAU
rnacentral:lncRNA from 15 species